rnacentral:lncRNA from 1 species
UUGAAUGUCUUUCCAUGGGUUUGUUGGCUAUUUAUAUAUCUUCUUCAGAGAAAAUAUCUAUUUAAAUCUUUUGCUGAUAUUUUAAUUAGAUUAUUGAUUUUCUGCUGUGGUAGUAAGAAUUAUUUAUAUAUUCUGAAUAUUAGGUCUUUAUCAGAUAUAUAAUUUAUAAAUAUUUUCUUUUAUUAUGUGGAUUAUCUUUACCUUUCUUGGCAGUAGCCUUUGAUGCACAAAAGUAUUUAAUUUUAAUGUAGUCCAAUUUAUUUAUUUUUCAGUUGUAUGCUUACGAUUGUUAUAAAUUCUUAAUGGAUUGACACUCAUCCUAUAUAUAACUUCAUUUGUCUUAUGUAAAAAAAAUAUUUAAAGUCUAUUAAUCUGAUAUUAGUAGGGCUAACACUCCUCUCUUUUGGUUACUAUGUUCAGGGAGUGUCUCUCUCCAUCCUUUCCUUUUUAAUCAAUUUGUAUCUUUGGAUUUUAUGUGAGUCUUUUGUGGACAGGAUAUAAUGGAAUCAUUUUUUAAAGUUCAUUCUGCCAAUUUCUAUCUUCCAAUGCAUUAAACGGUGAGUUUAAUCAGUUUAUAUCUGUAGUAAUUACUGAUAAAGGAAGGACUUACUUCUGGCAUUUUUCUAUUUGCUUUCUUUAUGUCAUAUCUUUUUUUGUUCCUUAAUUCUUUCAUUAAUGCUUUUUGGUUUUUGUUUUUUGGUUUUUUUUUUUUUUGUCUUUUGUCUUUUUUGUUGUUGUUAUUGUUGCUAUCUCUUGGUUAUUGGGCCGCUCCCGCGGCAUAUGGAGGUUCCCAGGCUAGGGGUUGAAUCGGAGCUGUAGCCACCAGCCUACGCCAGAGCCACAGCAACGCGGGAUCCGAGCCGCGUCUGCAACCUACACCACAGCUCACCGCAACGCCGGAUCAUUAACCCACUGAGCAAGGGCAGGGACCGAGAACCUGCAACCUCAUGGUUCCUUGUCGGAUUCGUUAACCACUGCGCCACGACGGGAACUCCGCUUUUUGGUUUUUUUAAAUGACUUUUUCUAGUGUAUUAUUUUGAUUUCAUCCUCAUUUCCUUUUAUAUACUUGCAGGGUUUUUUUAGGGGUUACCAUGAAUAUUACAAUUAAUACCUAAUUGUAGAAAAGUCUAGCUUAAACCGAUAGCAACUUAGCUUCAAUAGCACAGAAAUCCCUGCUCCUCUGUAAAUCUGUCUCUUUCCCUUAUGUUGUUACUAUCAUAAAUUACAUCUCUGUACCAUAUGUACUUGUAAAUGUAUAUGCAUAAUUAUUGUUUUAUCUAUUUGUCUUUAACUCAUAUAGAAAAAAGAAAAGUUACAAACCAAAAAUGAAUAAUACUGGCUUUUAUAUUUAACUUUAUGGUUACCUUUACUAUUAUUCUUUAUUUCUUCAUAUGGCUUUGAGUUACUGUCUAGUGUUCUUCAUUUUAUCUUGAAAAACUACUUUGGCAUUUCUCAUAGAGAUUGGUAUAAUCACAACAGUCCUUUUAUCUAGGAAUGUCUUCGUUUAUUCUUCAUUUUUGAAGAAUAGCAUUGAUGGACAUAUAAUUUUUUGUUGACAGCUUUUUAUGUGUGUAGAUCCCUGGUAGAGGCAGAAGCCCUGUAAAGCCCUCAUUCUCCCAUAUAUCUUUUCUUCAGCUUCAUGCUUCUCAGCCUUUUAGGUCUGUCUUAGAGUAUCUGGCCCCAUCUGAUCUGUCUUGCCACAGUUGGUUGUGAUAGCACAUGUUUUUAAAUGCUUUGGAAAAGCAUUUCCCAAGAGCCCACUCCAGCCACGAGAGAGUUGCAAGAGGGUACAAAUAAAGGCAAGUCUUAGAGCCAAUCCACUAGCUAACCACCAAACGGGUCAAAUGAUAACCGUGACAAUGGCUACUGCCAAUCUGAGGAAUGGAGGGUGGUAGGCUGGAAAGCAAAAAUACCAUGACACCCAUUAAGCUUAAUCUGUGAACUUGGAACAAAAUGUACCAUAGGAUUAGUAAUGAGAAUUAAACUGGAUAAUGUAUGAUUAAUUCACAUUUUGUCCAAUAAAUGCCUGCUAUUAUCACUAUUAUUUAUAAAAAGAUGUGGUUUUUUUUCUUUUUUUUUUGAUAUUGUAGACAAAGAGCAGAGUAGUUCUUUCUGAACACAUUGGACAACAUUUUAUUAUUUUUUUAACUGUUAACAUACUAAAUCAAGAGUUAGCAACUGUGACUUAUGACUAACCAAGAAGAAUGGAAUAUUGCCUCCAUUCGUACCACCCUCAAAUUCCUCAUUAUUAUGUCUGUCAGCAGAGCCAGACUGGCCCAGCUAUGCAUUAGUUAUCAUGAUAGAGAAUUUUGAAGGUCAAAAGAUGGUUUCUACUCCCAAAUAGCCCUUCUACCAACUUUGCAAGAUAUCUAGAAAAUCCUUUCGAUUAAGGCACUAAAGACUUGCCGCAAAGUAAAUUUAAACCAGAUGAAGUAAUUAUUUAUAUUUUUUAAGAUUUUUCCCCAACUUCGUCUCAUACUUUCAUUGCCUAUGUAACUGGCUGUUUUAGAAUAUUAAACACUGAUGCAGUUGGAGAUCCCUGCAUUUUCCAGAAUAAGUGGGAAAUCUUGAUAGGUCAACCUGUACAUUUUAUUCCAUAGGUUCUGGAGAAAACAGUUAUUGUUCAAACCUCCUAAUCAGUUAGUGUUCAGCAAGGAAAAUAGAGCACACUGUAUUUAUUCCAAGUACGAAGGAUUUAAUAGUGGAAUUAGGGG